AUUGAACGCUGGCGGCAGGCCUAACACAUGCAAGUCGAACGGUAACAGGAAACAGCUUGCUGUUUCGCUGACGAGUGGCGGACGGGUGAGUAAUGUCUGGGAAACUGCCUGAUGGAGGGGGAUAACUACUGGAAACGGUAGCUAAUACCGCAUAACGUCGCAAGACCAAAGAGGGGGACCUUCGGGCCUCUUGCCAUCGGAUGUGCCCAGAUGGGAUUAGCUAGUAGGUGGGGUAACGGCUCACCUAGGCGACGAUCCCUAGCUGGUCUGCGAGGAUGCACAGCCACACUAGAACGGAGACACGGUCCAGACGCCUACGGGAGGCAACAGUGGGGAAUAUUGAACAGUGGGCGCAAGCCUGAUGCAGCCAUGCCGCGUGUAUGAAGAAGGCCUUCGGGUUGUAAAGUACUUUCAGCGGGGAGGAAGGGAGUAAAGUUAAUACCUUUGCUCAUUGACGUUACCCGCAGAAGAAGCACCGGCUAACUCCGUGCCAGCCGCCGCAGUAA
rnacentral:rRNA from 1 species